GCUCCAAUAGCGUAUAUUUAAGUUGCUGCAGUUAAAAAGCUCGUAGUUGGAUUUCGGGUGGGAAUGGCCGGUCCGCCGUUUCGGUGUGCACUUGCUACGCCACCUUGCUGCCGGGGGACGUGCUCUUGAGUUUGCGCUCGGGACACGGAGUCGGCGAGGUUACUUUGAGUAAAUUAGAGUGUUCAAAGCAGGCCUACGCU
rnacentral:rRNA from 1 species